AGCUAGAGUAUGAUAGAGGAAAGCAGAAUUUCUAGUGUAGAGGUGAAAUUCGUAGAUAUUAGAAAGAAUACCAAUUGCGAAGGCAGCUUUCUGGAUCAUUACUGACACUGAGGAACGAAAGCAUGGGUAGCGAAGAGGAUUAGAUACCCUCGUAGUCCAUGCCGUAAACGAUGUGUGUUAGACGUUGGAAAUUUAUUUUCAGUGCCGCAGCGAAAGCGAUAAACACACCGCCUGGGGAGUACGACCGCAAGGUUAAAACUCAAAUGAAUUGACGGGGACCCGCACAAGUAGUGGAGCAUGUGGUUUAAUUCGAAGAUACGCGCAGAACCUUACCAACACUUGACAUGUUCGUCGCGACUUUAAGAGAUUAGAGUUUUCGGUUCGGCCGGACGAAACACAGGUGCUGCAUGGCUGUCGUCAGCUCGUGUCGUGAGAUGUUGGGUUAAGUCCCGCAACGAGCGCAACCCCACUUUUAGUUGCCAUCAUUAAGUUGGGCACUCUGAAAGAACUGCCAGUGAUAAGCUGGAGGAAGGUGGGGAUGACGUCAAGUCCUCAUGGCCCUUACGUGUUGGGCUACACACGUGCUACAAUGGUAUCUACAACAGGAAGCAAGACUGCGAGGUCAAGCAAAUCCCUAAAAGAUACCUCAGUUCGGAUUGCACUCUGCAACUCGAGUGCAUGGAGCUGGAAUUACUAGUAAUCGUGGAUCAGCGUGCCACGGUGAAUGCGUUCCCGGGUCUUGUACACACCGCCCGUCACACCAUGGGAGUUGGUUCUACCUUAAGGCAAGGUUUCAAACCCUUGACCACGGUAUAGUCAGCGACUGGGGUGAAGUCGUAACAAGGUAAC
rnacentral:rRNA from 1 species